rnacentral:rRNA from 1 species
GACAGAGGCCUCGAGCGUUAGGCGGAAUCACUGGGCUUAAAGCGUGUGUAGGCGGAUCGUUAAGUGCCUUGUGAAAUCCCACGGCUUAACUGUGGAACGGCUGGGCAUACUGGCGGUCUUGAGCCAUCUAGGGGCGACUGGAACAAACGGUGGAGCGGUGAAAUGCGUAGAUAUCGUUUGGAACGCCAAUGGUGAAAACAGGUCGCUGGGGAUGAGCUGACGCGUGAGACACG